rnacentral:rRNA from 1 species
CAACUUUCAGCAAUGGAUCUCUUGGUUCUCGCAUCGAUGAAGAACGCAGCGAAUCGCGAUAAGUAAUGUGAAUUGCAGAUUUUCAGUGAAUCAUCGAAUCUUUGAACGCACCUUGCGCCCCUUGGUAUUCCGAGGGGC